AGAGUUUGAUUCUGGCUCAGGACGAACGCUGGCGGCGUGCUUAACACAUGCAAGUCGAACGGGAGGAAAAGAGAAGCUUGCUUCUUUUUGAAUCUAGUGGCAAACGGGUGAGUAACACGUAAACAACCUGCCUUCAGGAUGGGGACAACAGACGGAAACGACUGCUAAUACCGAAUGUGUUCCGGAGACCGCAUGAUUUCCGGAAGAAAGGAUGGCCUCUAUUUAUAAGCUAUCGCCUGAAGAGGGGUUUGCGUCUGAUUAGGCAGUUGGUGAGGUAACGGCCCACCAAACCUACGAUCAGUAGCCGGUCUGAGAGGAUGAACGGCCACACUGGAACUGAGACACGGUCCAGACUCCUACGGGAGGCAGCAGUGGGGAAUCUUCCGCAAUGGACGAAAGUCUGACGGAGCAACGCCGCGUGAGUGAUGACGGCCUUCGGGUUGUAAAGCUCUGUGAUUCGGGGACGAAUGGCUGGUAUGCUAAUACCAUAUCAGAGUGACGGUACCCGAAUAGCAAGCCACGGCUAACUACGUGCCAGCAGCCGCGGUAAUACGUAGGUGGCAAGCGUUGUCCGGAAUUAUUGGGCGUAAAGCGCGCGCAGGCGGCUUCUUAAGUCCAUCUUAAAAGUGCGGGGCUUAACCCCGUGAUGGGAUGGAAACUGUCAAUCUAGAGUACCGGAGAGGUAAGCGGAAUUCCUAGUGUAGCGGUGAAAUGCGUAGAUAUUAGGAGGAACACCAGUGGCGAAGGCGGCUUACUGGACGGUAACUGACGUUGAGGCUCGAAAGCGUGGGGAGCAAACAGGAUUAGAUACCCUGGUAGUCCACGCCGUAAACGAUGACUACUAGGUGUCGGGCAGCAAAGCUGUUCGGUGCCGCAGCAAACGCAAUAAGUAGUCCACCUGGGGAGUACGUUCGCCAGAAUUAAACUCAAAGGAAUUGACGGGGACCCGCACAAGCGGUGGAGCAUGUGGUUUAAUUCGAAGCAACGCGAAGAACCUUACCUGCUCUUGACAUCUCCCUGACCGGCAAGUAAUGUUGCCUUUCCUUCGGGACAGGGAUGACAGGUGGUGCAUGGUUGUCGUCAGCUCGUGUCGUGAGAUGUUGGGUUAAGUCCCGCAACGAGCGCAACCCCUAUCUUUAGUAGCCAGCGGUUCGGCCGGGCACUCUAGAGAGACUGCCAGGGAUAACCUGGAGGAAGGUGGGGAUGACGUCAAAUCAUCAUGCCCCUUAUGAGCAGGGCUACACACGUGCUACAAUGGCGUAAACAAAGGGAGGCAGAACCGCGAGGUCGAGCAAAUCCCAAAAAUAACGUCUCAGUUCGGAUUGUAGUCUGCAACUCGACUACAUGAAGCUGGAAUCGCUAGUAAUCGCGAAUCAGAAUGUCGCGGUGAAUACGUUCCCGGGUCUUGUACACACCGCCCGUCACACCAUGGGAGUCAGUAACGCCCGAAGUCAGUGACCCAACCGUAAGGAGGGAGCUGCCGAAGGUGG
rnacentral:rRNA from 1 species